GGGACACGUGGUAUCCUGUCUGAAUAUGGGGGGACCAUCCUCCAAGGCUAAAUACUCCUGACUGACCGAUAGUGAACCAGUACCGUGAGGGAAAGGCGAAAAGAACCCCGGCGAGGGGAGUGAAAAAGAACCUGAAACCGUGUACGUACAAGCAGUGGGAGCACAGAGCAAUCUGUGUGACUGCGUACCUUUUGUAUAAUGGGUCAGCGACUUAUAUUCUGUAGCAAGGUUAACCGAAUAGGGGAGCCGAAGGGAAACCGAGUCUUAACUGGGCGUUAAGUUGCAGGGUAUAGACCCGAAACCCGGUGAUCUAGCCAUGGGCAGGUUGAAGGUUGGGUAACACUAACUGGAGGACCGAACCGACUAAUGUUGAAAAAUUAGCGGAUGACUUGUGGCUGGGGGUGAAAGGCCAAUCAAACCGGGAGAUAGCUGGUUCUCCCCGAAAGCUAUUUAGGUAGCGCCUCGUGAAUUCAUCUCCGGGGGUAGAGCACUGUUUCGGCAAGGGGGUCAUCCCGACUUACCAACCCGAUGCAAACUGCGAAUACCGGAGAAUGUUAUCACGGGAGACACACGGCGGGUGCUAACGUCCGUCGUGAAGAGGGAAACAACCCAGACCGCCAGCUAAGGUCCCAAAGUCAUGGUUAAGUGGGAAACGAUGUGGGAAGGCCCAGACAGCCAGGAUGUUGGCUUAGAAGCAGCCAUCAUUUAAAGAAAGCGUAAUAGCUCACUGGUCGAGUCGGCCUGCGCGGAAGAUGUAACGGGGCUAAACCAUGCACCGAAGCUGCGGCAGCGACGCUGAUGCGUUGUUGGGUAGGGGAGCGUUCUGUAAGCCUGUGAAGGUGUGCUGUGAGGCAUGCUGGAGGUAUCAGAAGUGCGAAUGCUGACAUAAGUAACGAUAAAGCGGGUGAAAAGCCCGCUCGCCGGAAGACCAAGGGUUCCUGUCCAACGUUAAUCGGGGCAGGGUGAGUCGACCCCUAAGGCGAGGCCGAAAGGCGUAGUCGAUGGGAAACAGGUUAAUAUUCCUGUACUUGGUGUUACUGCGAAGGGGGGACGGAGAAGGCUAUGUUGGCCGGGCGACGGUUGUCCCGGUUUAAGCGUGUAGGCUGGUUUUCCAGGCAAAUCCGGAAAAUCAAGGCUGAGGCGUGAUGACGAGGCACUACGGUGCUGAAGCAACAAAUGCCCUGCUUCCAGGAAAAGCCUCUAAGCAUCAGGUAACAUCAAAUCGUACCCCAAACCGACACAGGUGGUCAGGUAGAGAAUACCAAGGCGCUUGAGAGAACUCGGGUGAAGGAACUAGGCAAAAUGGUGCCGUAACUUCGGGAGAAGGCACGCUGAUAUGUAGGUGAAGUCCCUCGCGGAUGGAGCUGAAAUCAGUCGAAGAUACCAGCUGGCUGCAACUGUUUAUUAAAAACACAGCACUGUGCAAACACGAAAGUGGACGUAUACGGUGUGACGCCUGCCCGGUGCCGGAAGGUUAAUUGAUGGGGUCAGCGCAAGCGAAGCUCUUGAUCGAAGCCCCGGUAAACGGCGGCCGUAACUAUAACGGUCCUAAGGUAGCGAAAUUCCUUGUCGGGUAAGUUCCGACCUGCACGAAUGGCGUAAUGAUGGCCAGGCUGUCUCCACCCGAGACUCAGUGAAAUUGAACUCGCUGUGAAGAUGCAGUGUACCCGCGGCAAGACGGAAAGACCCCGUGAACCUUUACUAUAGCUUGACACUGAACAUUGAGCCUUGAUGUGUAGGAUAGGUGGGAGGCUUUGAAGUGUGGACGCCAGUCUGCAUGGAGCCGACCUUGAAAUACCACCCUUUAAUGUUUGAUGUUCUAACGUUGACCCGUGAUCCGGGUUGCGGACAGUGUCUGGUGGGUAGUUUGACUGGGGCGGUCUCCUCCUAAAGAGUAACGGAGGAGCACGAAGGUUGGCUAAUCCUGGUCGGACAUCAGGAGGUUAGUGCAAUGGCAUAAGCCAGCUUGACUGCGAGCGUGACGGCGCGAGCAGGUGCGAAAGCAGGUCAUAGUGAUCCGGUGGUUCUGAAUGGAAGGGCCAUCGCUCAACGGAUAAAAGGUACUCCGGGGAUAACAGGCUGAUACCGCCCAAGAGUUCAUAUCGACGGCGGUGUUUGGCACCUCGAUGUCGGCUCAUCACAUCCUGGGGCUGAAGUAGGUCCCAAGGGUAUGGCUGUUCGCCAUUUAAAGUGGUACGCGAGCUGGGUUUAGAACGUCGUGAGACAGUUCGGUCCCUAUCUGCCGUGGGCGCUGGAGAACUGAGGGGGGCUGCUCCUAGUACGAGAGGACCGGAGUGGACGCAUCACUGGUGUUCGGGUUGUCAUGCCAAUGGCACUGCCCGGUAGCUAAAUGCGGAAGAGAUAAGUGCUGAAAGCAUCUAAGCACGAAACUUGCCCCGAGAUGAGUUCUCCCUGACCCUUUAAGGGUC
rnacentral:rRNA from 1 species